CGCAGAUUUGAGAGCAGCUUGGCCGCAAAGUGCGUCUGAUUGACGGGACCGCGCGUACUUGCGAAAACAAGGUGGAGGGGAGACGCAGACCGGUGCGCCUACGCUGUGGGCUUCGGGAGAUGUUGGAAAGCGAAUAAUAGAUAAACUUCAGCGGAUGGUGGCAGACAAACCUUGGCAAACUUGAAGAACGGCCUGGGGUCUCUUCUGAAGUACUCGAUGUCGAACAUGGCCUGAGGAUCCGGAAGGUCAGGGAAGUCCACGGCAAGUCUGGCAUAGAUCCCGUCUCUGGAUCGGAAGUCUGGUAUUCCGCACGACACGGAGACCUGACGUGCUAUGGUUUGGUGCCGGAAUCAAUUUGGGGCGAAGGUCUCACUGCUGACCCCGGCGCCGGUUAACACCAGGAUCUUCUUGGACUCAUGCAGCAGCCUGAGAACAUCCUCCAGCGUGUUGAUGUCCUUCCGCUUCCUCCUCUUGGGGGGUUCGGAGAUGUUGAUGAUGAUCUGCCACAGGGUCAUGUCGUCCAGGUCCGGAGGGAGUACCGUUUCCGGGAGAAGAUCUCUCAGGAUGGUCCGAGGAUCCGUCUCCCUCAUGAUGUGCUGCUGGAUGAAACUGUAGGAGCCUGGAAAUAAUUUUAAAGUAUAGAUAUAAACAUUCUGUGAAUUUCAAGAUCUCUUCAAAAAAAGAUUUGAUUUAAACCUAAUUUACACACCACAGCUGAGUUUCCUGGACAUGGUAUUGCCAUUAAUAUACAGCAUCUGUUCUGAUUGGCUCACAGUACUCCCCCCCCCAAAGUUCUGGAAAAUAAUGUUGGAGACUAAUUCCUACAGUCAUAAGUAAACUGACAGUAUGACAA